rnacentral:rRNA from 1 species
AUGGCUAGCACUUUUACCCCUCCUUUGUCUCUUGACUUUGAGGUCCUUCACUUCAAACAAACACAAGGAGAAAAUUUGAAGGAUGCUUGGUAUAGGGUGAUAGAAUCCUAUCAUAAUUGCACUAUAGAGGGGGAUUUCAAGAUUUUACUUCGUAAUUUUUAUGUUGGGCUAAACAUGUCUCAUAGGCAACUUUUGGAUAUUGCUGCUAAGGGGAAUUUUAUUGAAAUAGAUCCCAACACUGCUCAUGAAAUAAUAGAGGGGAUAGUAGGAAUAUUCCCCCACAAAAAGGAUUACAUCAAACUCAAGAAGGAGCACAAGUUUUUGAGAAACUAUGUGAAGUAA